rnacentral:rRNA from 1 species
GACGAAGGGGCUAGCGUUGUUCGGAAUUACUGGGCGUAAAGCGCGUGUAGGCGGUUGCCAUAGUCAGGUGUGAAAGCCUUGAGCUUAACUCAAGAAAUGCACUUGAUACUGGGCGACUAGAGGACCGGAGAGGAUAGUGGAAUUCCCAGUGUAGUGGUGAAAUACGUAGAGAUGGGAAGACACCAGUGCGAAGGCGGCUAUCUGGACGGUUACUGAC